GAGGCCUGGGUGGGUCGGGGAGCUGAGUGUGAGAACUUUGCUUAGGUAAUUAGGGAACUACGGCUGCCCCAGGUGGCUGAGAUAGUUUGAUCUGAUCAACCUAAGGGGGAUACCCGAGAGCCAGUGCUCAUCAACACCCCCACCCCAUGGGCACAGGGCCCGUCCCCUCCCUGACCCGUUCCACCUGACCUGAUGAUGCUUGGCACUCGAUGAAUUAUCCGGAUGUAAGUGAGCCUGGGGAGGGGCAGGACGGGCCCAGGGUCCUGAGCUUGGGAGGAGAGAGAUCCUGACCGAGCCCCGAGCUCUCGGCACACCUCCUCUCGAGCGGUCCUCAUACUGCCCCGUGAGCCGGGCGUCGCGCCCACUAUACUGAUGAAGGAACGGAGGCUCCACGGAGCCACCUGCCCCCGUUCCCCAGGAGGUGAAGCGGCCCAGCUGCCUCGCUGCCCAGCUGCUGGAGAUUGUGGCUGCUCAGGAGUCAGACGCUCCGCAGGCGCUGUCCACGGUGGCAAGAGAGUGACGUCAGGGAGCACGGGAGUAGGUGAACAAUCCCUUCCAGCUCAAGGCCUCAGUUUCCCUGUCUGUCAUCUGAGAGGGCUGGGCCAGAAGGUCCGUGAGCCUCCGCUCCGGUGACCGUUUCUUCUGGAGCUUAGUCUGACCCAAGUCCAAGUCCCGUUUUGUGUGCACGCCCUGCCCCCUGGUGGAACCCGGUGGUACUACAACGUGAGAGGCCUGUGGUCCGGACGCGGUCAGGGGCGAGGGACCUUUUUGAGGGGUUUUGGCUAUCUGCCUUCCAGGAGAAUCUGAUCAACUUCCAGGAAAAGAGUUAGACUCACAGGAAGGGUGAUACAGAGCAGAGGAGGAACCAUCCCACUGGAGGGUGAGGGGAAGCGCUGGAAUCAAGGACAACUUCCUGGAGGCGGGACUGUUUGAACCCAUCUCUGAGAACAGGCUAGAGUGCAGUGGUGUGAUCAAGGCUCACAGCAGCCUCGGUUUCCCAGACUUAAGCAAUCCUCCCACCUCAGCACCCUCCCAACCCCACUGCCAUCUCCAGGAGCUGGAUCUGGAACUACAUGUGCAGACCACCUCACCGAGCUAAUUUUUAAAUUUUUAGUAGAGAUGGGAUUUUGCCAUGUUGCCCAGGCUGGUCUCAAAUUCCUGGGCUCAAGAGAUCCACCCACCUCAGCCUACCAAGUGCUGAGAUUGCAGGUGUGAGCCAUCAUGCCUUGCCCAUCGAAUUUUCUGUAUAUCAGUGUUAGUGUUGUUUUCAAUUCUUUGCUAUUUCAAACAGUGAUGUGAUGAAUAUUUUUUAGCAUACACCUUUGAAAAAGUGUCCAAUAUUUCUCUCAGAUGAAUUCCUAGAAUUAGAACUGCUAGGCCAAAUGUCUACACACUCAGAUUUUUGAAAGGGACUGACAAAUUGUUCUCCACUACAGUGGUAUCCAUGUACACUCCUACCAAGAGUCUCUAUGGAGUAUCUGUUUCUUGACAUUCUUUUACAAUGCUACCAAAUGUCAAAACUUUGCCAGGCUAUUGGUGAGAAACCAUAUGUGAAUCAUGCUUACAUUUUCAUUUUUCAUCAUCAAUGAAAUUGAGCUUGUUUUAUAGUGACUAGCCAUAGGAACUACUUCUCUUUUGAAGCACAUGUGUUUGUCCUUCAAGUCGUUAAAAAUCUGACCUGUGAGAGUUCUUUGUACCACAGGGAUAUUAACCCUUUCUCUGAUCUAUAGGUUGUGAGGAAUACAUUUCCAGUUUGGGGUUUGUCUUUCCAUCUUUUGACAAUUUUCCAUUUUUGUUUUGGCUACAGAGAAGGGCCAGCCAUUCCCUCUACGGCUCCUAGCUCUCCUGUCAGACCUAGAAAAGGUGUCCCUAACCCCAAAAGUAUGGAAAUGUUUACUUAAUAGGGUUUCAUUUUUUAUAUAUAAAUGUCUAGCCAUCUGGCAUUUGCUUUUUAAUAAAAAAAUUAUUUUUAAUGAAAACAAAAAUUAAUCAGUUCCCUCAAUGGAUAACCUGUUUUCACUCUGAUGGAGCAGGGGAAAGCAGAGCCCUGUGUGACCUAGCCCUCACCAGCACCCCGGGGCCAGGGCACAAGGCUGACAGUUUCUCUUACU